AUUCAAUUUCAACCUUACUUACGUGGCACUGGCAGUAGUUAAGCGUACACUAUAACAUCUUUUUAAUUUUGAAAAAUAAUGUAGGUAACUACAAAAUGUUCCGUGUUUCUAAGAAUUUUGUUUUAUAUUUCUCUAUCCUAUCAUUGUGUGCUUAUGCAGGACCAGUACCACCGCCUAAUAUAAGUAUUGAAACACAAGUAAAUCAAGAAAUCACUUCCUUCGAAAUAUUGUUGAAAAAAAUGGAGAAUGCUACCACUGACAAACAAGCUGCAUUAGAUAAGUUGGAUGGCAAAUUAUUGGGUAACCUGACACAGGUGAUUCAACGCGCAAUCACUGCUGAAAAGAAAAUUGUAGUGUUGUUACAGAAAAACGUAUUGCUGGAAAUGAAAAAGAAUGAAUCUGAGCAUGAACUGAUCACAUUGAAAAUGCCACUAAUGUUUAGAAAUUAUGUUAUUGAAACCGAAAACAAUUUCCCUGGUAUUAAAGCUGUAAUACCACCAAACGUCUUGAAUCAUUCAAAAUUCCAUCUGGACGUCCUUCAAAGGAAGUAUAAUUGGAUAAAAAUCCUCACUGAAGAUGAGUAUUCUAAUAAUGUCCUUGUAAAAUUGCUGAAAUCCACCCUCAAAAAAAAUUUUUUUUUGAAUGAAAAUAUUCCUCAAGAUAAGGACAUUCAAGGCUUGAGCAAAGAUCAGCAAAAAAUGUAUAACGAAUUUAUUGAAAAAUUCUGUCACGGGAUUGCUGUGUCCAUUGAUAAUAUUAACAAGAUAAUGGAACAUGAUAAUUUUGGUAGGUAUCCAAGAGUGGACUUACUGAAAAUGUUUGAGACAGCAUGUAAUAAAUACGUGUCUUUGUUUUAUCAUGCUGUUAUCUGUCCUGCGAAUCCCGAUGAAGAAAAACCACUGUAAAUUAGUCAUACCAAAUUUAUUUUUAAAUCCCAUUUGUAAUUACCUACACCAAUGUUCUGUUUCAAUAUCUUAUUACUUACUUUAUUACUUACUUUAUUAUAAUUUUUUUAAAUUUCAAGUAUAAAAAUCACUUUAUUAUAA